UUUUGCUUGCUUUUGCUGGAGCUCACUGAAUCCACUGAUCUGCUGACAAUCAGUUAUCAGAAAAAUACAAGUCAAUUGAUAUUUAAUUAAUUUGAUUAAUAAAAAUGAAAAAAGGUAGUGCUUCCAAAAGUCAUGGACGCUUUGUUGUUGUUGGUGGUCAUGAUGAUGACCCAAGCGACGAGAUGGUGCAGUCUUGCUAACGUGAAAAGCCAAUUGUUAAUUGAGUCUAUGAUGUAGAAUUUUUACAACCAAAUCCAAGAUGAAUUGAUGCAUCAUCAAGUUAAAAAUAUUUCAUCAAGGUGGCGUCAUGAUGAUUGUUCUUGCAAGCCACACAAGGGUCUGAUAAAUAUUUCCUGGCAUUGGUAUAUGUCCACAUGAAAUUUCAAAAGGUAAUAAUCAUUUUUAUUAAUAUGUAUUUUAAAAAACUACGCCACUUUUCGAGUCGAUUCUUUUCUUAUAUAUUAGAGUCGACGAGGAGUCCUUUCGGCUUUUUGGGGGCUUAAAAGUGGCCACAUUAAAAUGCUGUACCAAGAUUGUCCAAAAGAAUUGAAUAACAAUUAGAGAUUAUUUCUUGGUCAAGUGAUGAUUCAAUAAAACAAAAAAGUUUCAAUUGGAUUCAUUGAUACCAGUUCCAGAUUUUGUUCAUGGUCUCAAACUUCUGUUGAGGAUUAUUCAACAACAAUCCCAUUACUUGGAGAAAAAAAAAU